AUUCCAUGUUGUGGGCAUUUCCUCAACAUCUCCUUGUACCUCUCCCAAGUGUCGUAGAUGGAUUCAUAUUCCAACUGCAGGAAGGAGGAGAUAUCACUCCUCAACUU